rnacentral:misc_RNA from 1 species
UAUUUUUAACAAAUUUACAUGAAAAUAAUCCCUUCAAAACAAACAGGAAGGAGCAGGACUUAUAUUCUCCCAAUUCAGUAAUGUAAACUCAUGUAAGUAUUGUACCCAAAAAACCAAACUUCUGAACUACUUUUUGACCCUUGUUCUUGGAAAACAGUUUCAUUUUAAUUUUUAGCUAAAAGAACGGCUAUCUUAAUUUUCAUCCCGAAAAAAAAUCCCCUGAUGAUACAUACAUGAAAAGACCCAAAAGUUAAACCAGCUAAUUACCAUAUGUUGCUUGGACUUGCGUUCAAC